CAGCAGCCGCGGGAAUACGAGGGGGGCAAGCGUUGUUCGGAAUUAUUGGGCGUAAAGGGUGCGUAGGCGGCUUGACAAGUCUUGUGUGAAAUCUAUGGGCUCUACCCGAAGCCUGCACGAGAAACUACCGGGCUUGAGUAUUGGAGAGGUGAGUGGAAUUUCCGGUGUAGCGGUGAAAUGCGUAGAUAUCGGAAGGAACACCUGUGGCGAAAGCGGCUCACUGGACAAUAACUGACGCUGAUGCACGAAAGCUAGGGGAGCAAACAGGAUUAGAUACCCCCGUAGUCCCUGUCUCUUAUAC
rnacentral:rRNA from 1 species